rnacentral:rRNA from 1 species
AUUGAACGCUGGCGGCAGGCCUAACACAUGCAAGUCGAGCGGAUGAAGGGAGCUUGCUCCUGGAUUCAGCGGCGGACGGGUGGGUAAUGCCUAGGAAUCUGCCUGGUAGUGGGGGAUAACGUCCGGAAACGGGCGCUAAUACCACAUACGUCCUUAUGGUGAAAGUGAGGGAUCUUCGGACCUCACGCUAUCAGAUGAGCCUAGGUCGGAUUAGCUAGUUGGUGGGGUAAAGGCCUACCAAGGCGACGAUCCGUAACUGGUCUGAGAGGAUGAUCAGUCACACUGGAACUGAGACACGGUCCAGACUCCUACGGGAGGCAGCAGUGGGGAAUAUUGGACAAUGGGCGAAAGCCUGAUCCAGCCAUGCCGCGUGUGUGAAGAAGGUCUUCGGAUUGUAAAGCACUUUAAGUUGGGAGGAAGGGCAGUAAGUUAAUACCUUGCUGUUUUGACGUUACCAACAGAAUAAGCACCGGCUAACUUCGUG